UACGUAGGCGGAAAAUUAAGUCAGUAGUGAAAUCCUGCAGCUUAACUGUAGAACUGUUAUUGAUACUGGUUUUCUUGAAUAUAGUUGAGGUAGGCGGAAUGUGUAAUGUAGCGGUGAAAUGCUUAGAUAUUGCACAGAACACCGAUUGCGAAGGCAGCUUACUAAGCUAUGAUUGACGCUGAGGUACGAAAGCGUGGGGAGCGAACAGGAUUAGAUACCCUGGUAGUC
rnacentral:rRNA from 1 species